UACGUAGGGGGCUAGCGUUAUCCGGAAUUACUGGGCGUAAAGGGUGCGUAGGUGGUUUCUUAAGUCAGAGGUGAAAGGCUACGGCUCAACCGUAGUAAGCCUUUGAAACUGGGGAACUUGAGUGCAGGAGAGGAGAGUGGAAUUCCUAGUGUAGCGGUGAAAUGCGUAGAUAUUAGGAGGAACACCAGUUGCGAAGGCGGCUUCCUGGUCUGCAACUGACACUGAGGCGCGAAAGCGUGGGGAGCAAACAGG
rnacentral:rRNA from 1 species